UACGUAGGGUGCGAGCGUUAAUCGGAAUUACUGGGCGUAAAGCGUGCGCAGGCGGUUGUGUAAGACAGAUGUGAAAUCCCCGGGCUCAACCUGGGAACUGCAUUUGUGACUGCACGGCUGGAGUGCGGCAGAGGGGGAUGGAAUUCCGCGUGUAGCAGUGAAAUGCGUAGAUAUGCGGAGGAACACCGAUGGCGAAGGCAAUCCCCUGGGCCUGCACUGACACUCAUGCACGAAAGCGUGGGGAGCAAACAGG
rnacentral:rRNA from 1 species